rnacentral:rRNA from 1 species
GCCACUGCUAUUGGGGUUCGGCUAAGCCAUGCGAGUGGAGGGCGUCCCGCAAGGGAUGGCCCCGCAGACGGCUCAGUAACACGUCGUCAACCCACCUUAGGGUGGGGGACAACCUCGGGAAACUGAGGAUAAUCCCCCAUAGGCGGGGGAGGCUAGAAUGCCUUCCCGUCCAAAGCUCAGGCGCCCUAGGAUGGGACUGCGACCCAUCAGGCUGUUGGUGGUGUGACG